rnacentral:rRNA from 1 species
UUUGCCUACGGGACGCAGCAGUGGGGAAUAUUGGGCAAUGGGCGCAAGCCUGACCCAGCAACGCCGCGUGAAGGAAGAAGGCUUUCGGGUUGUAAACUUCUUUUCUCAGGGACGAAGCAAGUGACGGUACCUGAGGAAUAAGCCACGGCUAACUACGUGCCAGCAGCCGCGGUAAUACGUAGGUGGCAAGCGUUAUCCGGAUUUACUGGGUGUAAAGGGCGUGUAGGCGGGGGCGCAAGUCAGAUGUGAAAAAUAAGGGCUCAAACU